rnacentral:rRNA from 1 species
AGAGUUUGAUCAUGGCUCAGAUUGAACGCUGGCGGCAGGCCUAACACAUGCAAGUCGAACGGUAACAGGAAGCAGCUUGCUGCUUUGCUGACGAGUGGCGGACGGGUGAGUAAUGUCUGGGAAACUGCCUGAUGGAGGGGGAUAACUACUGGAAACGGUGGCUAAUACCGCAUAACGUCGCAAGACCAAAGAGGGGGACCUUCGGGCCUCUUGCCAUCAGAUGUGCCCAGAUGGGAUUAGCUUGUUGGUGAGGUAACGGCUCACCAAGGCGACGAUCCCUAGCUGGUCUGAGAGGAUGACCAGCCACACUGGAACUGAGACACGGUCCAGACUCCUACGGGAGGCAGCAGUGGGGAAUAUUGCACAAUGGGCGCAAGCCUGAUGCAGCCAUGCCGCGUGUAUGAAGAAGGCCUUCGGGUUGUAAAGUACUUUCAGCGGGGAGGAAGGUGUUGUGGUUAAUAACCGCAGCAAUUGACGUUACCCGCAGAAGAAGCACCGGCUAACUCCGUGCCAGCAGCCGCGGUAAUACGGAGGGUGCAAGCGUUAAUCGGAAUUACUGGGCGUAAAGCGCACGCAGGCGGUCUGUCAAGUCGGAUGUGAAAUCCCCGGGCUCAACCUGGGAACUGCAUUCGAAACUGGCAGGCUUGAGUCUUGUAGAGGGGGGUAGAAUUCCAGGUGUAGCGGUGAAAUGCGUAGAGAUCUGGAGGAAUACCGGUGGCGAAGGCGGCCCCCUGGACAAAGACUGACGCUCAGGUGCGAAAGCGUGGGGAGCAAACAGGAUUAGAUACCCUGGUAGUCCACGCCGUAAACGAUGUCUACUUGGAGGUUGUGCCCUUGAGGCGUGGCUUCCGGAGCUAACGCGUUAAGUAGACCGCCUGGGGAGUACGGCCGCAAGGUUAAAACUCAAAUGAAUUGACGGGGGCCCGCACAAGCGGUGGAGCAUGUGGUUUAAUUCGAUGCAACGCGAAGAACCUUACCUGGUCUUGACAUCCACAGAACUUUCCAGAGAUGGAUUGGUGCCUUCGGGAACUGUGAGACAGGUGCUGCAUGGCUGUCGUCAGCUCGUGUUGUGAAAUGUUGGGUUAAGUCCCGCAACGAGCGCAACCCUUAUCCUUUGUUGCCAGCGGUCCGGCCGGGAACUCAAAGGAGACUGCCAGUGAUAAACUGGAGGAAGGUGGGGAUGACGUCAAGUCAUCAUGGCCCUUACGACCAGGGCUACACACGUGCUACAAUGGCGCAUACAAAGAGAAGCGACCUCGCGAGAGCAAGCGGACCUCAUAAAGUGCGUCGUAGUCCGGAUUGGAGUCUGCAACUCGACUCCAUGAAGUCGGAAUCGCUAGUAAUCGUGGAUCAGAAUGCCACGGUGAAUACGUUCCCGGGCCUUGUACACACCGCCCGUCACACCAUGGGGAGUGGGUUGCAAAAGAAGUAGGUAGCUUAACCUUCGGGAGGGCGCUUACCACUUUGUGAUUCAUGACUGGGGUGAAGUCGUAACAAGUAACCGUAGGGGAACCUGCGGUUGGAUCACCUCCUU